rnacentral:rRNA from 1 species
CCCACGGGGGGCAGCAGUGGGGGAUAUUGCACAAUGGGGGGAACCCUGAUGCAGCGACGCCGCGUGGGUGAAGAAGCGCCUCGGCGCGUAAAGCCCUGUCAGCAGGGAAGAAAAUGACGGUAACUGAAGAAGAAGCCCCGUCUAACUACAUGCCAGCAGCGGCGGUAACACGUAGGGGGCAAGCGUUAUCCGGAUUUACUGGGUGUAAAGGGGGCGCAGACGGCGGUGCAAGCCAGUGGUGAAAGCCGGAGGCUCAACCGCGGGACUGCUCUUGGAACUGCGUGGCUGGAGUGCAGGAGGGGCAGGUGGAAUUCCUGGUGUAGCGGUGAAAUGCGUAGAUAUCACGAGGAACACCGGUGGCGAAGGCGGCCUGCUGGACUGCAACUGACGUUGAGGCCCGAAAGCGUGGGGAGCAAACAGGAUUAGAUACCCUGGUAGUC